CGGGGAGAGACUGGCUCGAGUCUAGCACGGCGGAUAGCACUGAAACGAAAUAAUCUGACGUUGUCGUGUUAUACGGGAACUGGGCACGACGGCGCGAGGGUCUGGUACAAGACUACUGUUGUGAAGAUGUGAUAAAUUUUUGUAAAGGAUUCGUUUGGCUUUGUUACUGAGCUAAAAGUUCGUUGUGAUAAAUUGGAAUCAGUAGCCAAGUCCAAAUCUUUCAUCCAGUGGGUGUCUCAUUCAGUCAGCUGUGAAGUAUGACUCUACAAUAGAUUAUUCAAGCAUGCGCAUCCUGAACAUCCAACUGAAGUUCCAGGAGGAUUUCUUAGCGACUGCAACAGGGAUGCAUUACAUGUGAUAUCCAAUGCUGUUGUGGAUGUGUCUGUAUCAAAAGGUCAGGCUGGCGAUCGAUUCCAAUUUGAAAGAAUAGGCUAUUUUACUCCUGACUAUGACAGCACACCAAAGAAGUUAAUUUUCAACUGCACAGUUAAGACUUCGGGAAGACACUAGCAAAUGACUGUUGUCACACAAAUGAUGCGUAUGGUUUUGUCGUGAUUUCAGCAGACAUCUGCAGAUUAAUUUUAUUGUUUUUGUCAUGUCUGUUCUUACACUUCACACUUCACUACUUUGUGAAUCUUUAUAGGCUGUGCAGAUUACUGCUAUUCUUCUAUUUUCUGACUAUUAUGGACUUACAUUGCAAGUCACAGUUGGAUGUGUGUGUGUACACCCAUGUGCAUAGAGAGAUGUUGUCAGUGUUGGUUCUUUUGAAAUUCUUUGGUAAAGAAGAUGCAAGCAACAACAUUUACAGCAGAAAUGAACAUUAAUCUAAGAAUAUGAGGCAAAUACUGUAACGUUUUGUUGCUAAGUGGAUAUAAAGUUAAUGUUUUUA